rnacentral:rRNA from 1 species
AGCACUUUCAGUGUUCGAGUUGUAAUUUGAAGAAGGUAACUUUGGAAUUGGCUCUUGUCUAUGUUCCUUGGAACAGGACGUCACAGAGGGUGAGAAUCCCGUGCGAUGAGAUGUCCAAUUCUAUGUAAAGUGCUUUCGAAGAGUCGAGUUGUUUGGGAAUGCAGCUCUAAGUGGGUGGUAAAUUCCAUCUAAAGCUAAAUAUUGGCGAGAGACCGAUAGCGAACAAGUACAGUGAUGGAAAGAUGAAAAGAACUUUGAAAAGAGAGUGAAAAAGUACGUGAAAUUGUUGAAAGGGAAGGGCUUGAGAUCAGACUUGGUAUUUUGUGUUCCUUAUCCUUCUUGGAUUAGGUUCCUCACAGCUUACCGGGCCAGCAUCGGUUUGGAUGGCAGGAUAAUGACAUUGGAAUGUAGCUUUGCUUCGGUGAAGUGUUAUAGACUUUGUUGAUACUGCCUAUCUAGACCGAGGACUGCGUCUUUGACUAGGAUGCUGGCGUAAUGAUCUUAAGCCGCCCGUCUUGAAACACGGAC